GCCGACGUAGCACAAUUGGCAGUGCAACUGACUUGUAAUCAGUAGGUUGGGGGUUCAAGUCCCUCCGUCGGCACCA
rnacentral:tRNA from 1 species